UUGUCAUCACUGUACACACAUGCGACAAAUCCGUGCAUUGGAAGCGAAAUCCCCUACCUCCGUCGUCGUUGGCAGGCACAUCACCGACCCGUCCCACGGUGUAGUCGUAGGUUGCGAUUGCUGCUGCUGCUACUGCUGCUGACCUCUACGGGGACUGGCUGGCUGGCCAAUGCGUCAUUGGGGCGGAGCAUGAGCACACAUGAUGAGACCUGAAAGAUGGUGAACUAUGCUUGCGUAGGUUGAAGCCAGAGGAAACUUGUGGUGGAGGACCGUAGCGAUUCUGACAUGCAAAUCCAUCGUCAAACGUGAGUAUAUGAGCAAAAGACUAGUCGAACCAUCCAGUAGCUAGUUUUCUUCGGAGUUUCCUCAGGACAGCUGGCAUUCAUCGGCAUCAGUUUUAUCCGGUAAAGCGGAUGAUGAGAGGUGCUGGGUUCGAAACGAGCUCAACUUAUUCUCCAUCUUUAAAUGGAUUAGGUAUCCAACUGACUUCUCAUGCGUGCAUGCCUCGUUCAUGGUGGAGUUGGGCUUUGAAUGUGCGAGUGCCAAGUAGGCCAUUGUGGUCAGCAGUACUGGCACUUCUGCAUGUCAAAUAAGUACCGUGUUGAAUGGCCAAAUCGGCACAUAAGAUGACCAACAGAACGGAAAUGGCAAAUGUG
rnacentral:ncRNA from 1 species